rnacentral:lncRNA from 1 species
UUAACUUUAUAUAAAGAAGGGUUUCCUUGGCCUUUAUUAGCUUCACAUAUAUUCAUUCCAAAAGUAUAUCUGUCUUCCAGGAAGAAUAUAGAAUCAGGGUACAUUCAUUUUCUCAGAGUGAAGAAUGCAUAGAUAUUCAUGCAUAUUUUAAGCACCUCAUAAAUCAAGCUCAGCUGAAAACAUAUGGUAUUCCAGAAACUACCUGCUAAGUUGUUCUCAGGAGACAUUAGCAAAAGUAAAAACCCAAACCAAAAUGAAAGCAAACCAAAAUCCCAAGUCUCCCUUCUUCAUUCAUGUUUAGGAGAAUUUUCAUUUUCAAGGCAGAUAGAUACUACAAAAUUAACUGCUGUAGUUCACAGCUGGAUGUGAGGGGGUACUCCCAGGAAGUAUUUUGGUUUUAAAAAAUGAGGUACUCCAGGCUGUUUGUUAUCGAGGAAGCUAACUUUUCCUCAGUGGUACCUAUGAAGUCUUAAAAUUAGUCAGGGAACAGAUUGAGCCUACUGGGGAUUGCCGAGUUGAUGCUAAUGUUGGGAGUCUUUGAGAGAAACAGCAGAGAUCUGGUGGGAAACCUGGUUUGUAUGGCUGGCUAUCUCAGUAGCUAGCACUGUGUGGAAUGACACAACAACCAUUCUAAAGACCAGCAUCACUGUCCAUCAUACUUAGAGUUUGCACUAUAUUUCAAUUUAUUUUUAUAAUUCAUCAAAAAACAUUGUAGAUGGGAAAAAUGGAAUUAUCUUGGUGGUCUUCUUGGAAGGCCAUCUCUGUGGUAUUUGCUUGAUUUUGUUAUCUGGCAAUUUUCCAGAGUGGUCCAGUUCUAGGUCUGUGAGAAAAUGGGAAUAAAUGGUGCAUAAGAGAAACAUCAGAUGCAUACAUGGCAAAAUAUAUAAUUUUUAUGUUUAUGGUAAAGAUAAAACUGUUUAGUAUGACUCAUAUAUCUGUAUAGCCCAUUUGGGUAAGAAUUUUCCAAUACCCAAAGCAAAGAUUGCUACGCCAAGAUGCAUAGUUCAUUACCCAGUGAAGCCUGUGUGACUGUCUACUCUAUGGGAAUAAUUACUGUCAGAGCAAAAGAGAAUGGAAUAAUUACUGUCAGAGCAAAAGAGAAAAAGCAGUAAUAGCCCUUGACAUAGUUUGGUUUUUGACUAUCUCAUA